GGUGGAGAAUCACCGUUCCACCGAUUGGAAUCAUGAUAACAGGAUAAUUCAAGUACAUCAUAAUGAUACCACAUAAAAAAUACAAAAUAUAAUGUAUCCAAAUUUCUGAAAUACAACAAUUGUACAUAAUAGUUGAUCAAAAAGAUAAAUGAUGUAAUCCAAACAAUAUUGGUCUUCUCAUUAGACUUCAACCAUUUAAAAACUUCUUCUUCAUUAAAAUAUAAUCCUUCAUAAAAGGAAUGAUUUGCUCCAAAUAUCAUCAUUACAACCCAUUCUGGUAGUCAUUGAUCAAAUUUGUAAGAAUCUUGAUCAUCGUCACGCCAGAACUGGUCAUCUUUGAAGGUGUACUUGAAUAUAUUACCAGACUCCAUUAGAAAAUCCUAAGAGCAAUAAUAAAUCGCUGUAAUAGCGAAUCGAAACAUCAUAUGACAAAGGAUUGUCAUAGAGAUAAUAUUUAUUGAAAGCAUAAAGAAAUACAUAAAACAAUAUCCUGAUUUUGCAAAUAAAUGCGAUUUUAUUUAAUUAAACAUGAUUUAGUAAAUAAAACAAUCUAGAUUUGCUCGGAAGAUAUGAAAUUCAUAUCUAAACUCGAAUAAAUUUAGAUUUAGGAUGAAAAAGAUGGUGAAAAAAUAGGAUUAGUUUUUACCGGGAAAACGGUUUUGGCGUAGAGUGAGAAAAAGGCUAGUUUGCCUCAGCGCCUAUUCAAGAUAUUAGAUAUCUAUCGUCUUCUUAACCUAUCAAAAAAAGAUAUCUAGCGUCUUCUUUUUAUUGAAAACCCUGACUUCUUUUCACCGAACGCUUCUUCUUUUUUUUUUCUUCUCCAUUUGUUCUCUUUCGUCAUGUAUUGUUUUAUGAAUCUGAUUGUUGAUUUUUUUCUAAUUAUUUUUGUUAGGUUUAUUUUACAGGUGGGAUUUCGGUUGAAGCUUAAAAAGGAUAAAUUACUAAAUAAAAUUAUCGAUGGAUGGUUCGGUUCCGUUACGGUUGCAUUAUGUACCAGGCAACAAUUUCUCGACAGUUUGUAGGGUUGCUGCAAAAUCUCUCCAUAUUCUUCAAGGAUCUUGAGGUAACUCAUUUAUCCUUUAGACUUUGAUCUAUAUAAACUGUUUCUUUAUGUGCAGCUCCCGUGGUUUAGAUGAGAAGCUCUUGGAAAUGGUCAAACCGUUGUUUUAGAUGAAAAGCUCUUGGAAAUGGUCCCAAGGCGUCGGCUCUCAAACUGUUGCAAGGGCAUAAAUAUUACAUCUGAUAAGGCGUAGGGUGGAAGCAAAUAAAAUCUAUGACUUUUGGUGGACUCGAGAUGAACGACAACAGUUGCUUCCAUUACUCAGACCUCAUCAUACGGCGUGGGUUGCGAUAAAUACAUGCUACAUCUUAUAGAUGCAGCAGUGGUACGUUGUCGAGAACCAAGGAUACAAUGUAUAUGGGAAAUGGAGGAAAACCUGUUUAGGCAGGAGUAACAACACUAAACACAUCAAUUUUCCUACCAGACAUUAUGAAUUUAUGAGCUUCGCCAUAUGAAACUUGGGUUCAAAUUAUCUGCAUACGCUUUAACAUAUUUGGAAUUUGUAAUGAGUUUAGUUUGAAUUGGGAUGUAAGUUCAAAUUAUCAAUGAUGAGUUCCGUCUCGCACCAGCAGAAAUACAUCAUCUCUUUUAUAUA